rnacentral:piRNA from 1 species
UCUGCUUUGGACUGCGCUACAGUUCCUGGUC